GUCGAGCGAUGAAGUUUUCUUCGGAAAACGGAUUAGCGGCGGACGGGUGAGUAACACGUGGGCAACCUGCCUUAUAGAGGGGAAUAGCCUUCCGAAAGGAAGAUUAAUACCGCAUAAUAUUAUCGAAUGGCAUCAUUUGAUAAUCAAAGGAGCAAUCCGCUAUAAGAUGGGCCCGCGUCGCAUUAGUUAGUUGGUGGGGUAAUGGCCUACCAAGACGACGAUGCGUAGCCGACCUGAGAGGGUGAUCGGCCACAUUGGGACUGAGACACGGCCCAGACUCCUACGGGAGGCAGCAGUGGGGAAUAUUGCACAAUGGGGGAAACCCUGAUGCAGCAGCGCCGCGUGAGCGAUGAAGGUCUUCGGAUCGUAAAGCUCUGUCUUUAGGGAUGAUAAUGACAGUACCUAAGGAGGAAGCCACGGCUAACUACGUGCCAGCAGCCGCGGUAAUACGUAGGUGGCAAGCGUUAUCCGGAAUUAUUGGGCGUAAAGGGAGCGUAGGCGGAUAUUUAAGUGGGAUGUGAAAUACAUGAGCUCAACUCGUGUGCUGCAUUCCAAACUGGAUAUCUAGAGUGCAGGAGAGGAGAGUGGAAUUCCUAGUGUAGCGGUGAAAUGCGUAGAGAUUAGGAAGAACACCAGUCGAAGGCGACUCUCUGGACUGUAACUGACGCUGAGGCUCGAAAGCGUGGGGAGCGAACAGGAUUAGAUACCCUGGUAGUCCACGCCG
rnacentral:rRNA from 1 species